GUACUUACCUGACAGUGGAGAUGUCAUAAUCAUAAAGAUGGUUUUCCCACAGUGAGGCUUAUCCAUUGCACUCCAGAUGUGCUGACCCCUUCUAUUUCCCCAAAUGUAGGAAACUCAACUGCAUAGC
rnacentral:snRNA from 1 species